UAUAAUUUCGUCGGCUAAAGUGUCUUAAUUUCGUCGGCUAAAGUGCCUUAUAUUUGCAGAUCUGGACAACAACUCAUCUGGGAAAAAAAAACUAUACGUAGAACCUUCAAACGCAAAAAAGUCGUGAAAUAAGAUAUGACCAGAAUGGUGAAAUACGUCUACAGUUAAAAAAAGUUAAAAAAUCACGGUAUUCUGGUAAAGUCUCGGUGUCGAUAGUUGCGGUCAAUGCAAUUUACCCUUGUUAUUCACUAUGCUGCAGAUUUGGUUUUUGGUGUCCGAUUGACCAUUGUGAUACAUUUCCGGAAGCGUAACGGCCCUACGAGUCAAACUCAUUGCUAAUGCCAUGAUGUAUGGGCCUUUUUGGCCAUCCGAGUCCGUUUAGGGCUUCAAAAUACAGUUUUCUUAUUUCCGAUUAGAGUUGACCGUUUCGAUCGAGCCCUUAACGUUGUCGAAUCCAGUUGAAUUUUUUACCAUAGACAUCUUUCGUCAUAAUGAUCAUAUCGGACGGUCGAAUUUUGGUUUGUAAAUUUUAGUCAUCGGAAUCACAACGUGUCUACUAUUUAUCGUUAUUAUUCCCUAUGGGGAGCCCUAUCGUCGAAAGGUAAAUGUCUCAAAAUUUUUAUAUGGGUAGUUGCGUCUCAUCUACGUGAGAGUUUUUUGUGUGGAAUGUUUGACCAAACCACGUAAUAUAUAGGGAGAUAUAAGUGUUUUCGUGUGAUAAGUGACGAUGGAUUAGGGUUAUCCGUUUCGAUCGAGUCCUUAACGUUGUCGAAUCCAGUUGAAUUUUUUACCAUAGACAUCUUUCGUCAUAAUGAUCAUAUCUGACGGUCGAAUUUUGGUUUGUGAAUUUUAGUCAUCGGAAUCACAACGUGUCUACUAAUGUUGUAUAACUUGUUUAAUAGGUUAUACAACUUUGUGAACCAACUCUAUAUAGGAAGCAAAAUUAUCAAAAAUCUCGUGAAAUAAGAUGUGUUCAGAAUGGUGAAAUACGGCUAUGGUUCAAAAAUCACGUAAAUCGGGUAAAGUCUCGGUGCCGAUAGU
rnacentral:lncRNA from 1 species